AUGGAGUUUCAUGGAGUCAAGCUCCCGGCGAUUGCCCAUCACAGCCGCCACUGGCACUGUGUGCUCCCCGCCGCCGUCCUCACGACGUGCCUUGUGGUCCUCGCGGCGAUGAGCCUGCCCGGCCGCGUGCCGCUGAUGCCGCCGUUUCUCCCGAGCAUGACCGGCCAUGGACGAGGCGUCAACGGGUCCUGCGACAUAUUCAAGGGCGAGUGGGUGCCCGACCCGGGCGCGCCGCGAUACACCAACGAGACGUGCCCCGUGAUCCACGGCCACUACGACUGCAUGCGGUACGGCAAGCCGGACCUCGGGUUCGUGCGGUGGCGGUGGCGGCCGGACGGGUGCGAGCUGCCCCGCUUCGACGCGGCGCGCUUCCUCGGCGCCAUGAGGGGCAAAUCCGUGGCGUUCGUCGGCGACUCGCUCGCCAGGAACCAGAUGCACUCGCUCGUGUGCCUCCUGGCGCGGGCCGAGCGGCCCGUGCCGUGGACCAAAGCGGGCUACGUCUACCGCUACGAGCGCCACGGCUUCGCCGUCGCCGACUUCUGGUCGCCGUUCCUCGUCCGCGCCGUCGAGACGGACCGGGACGGCCCGGCGCGUAGCGGGGCGGGCCUGUGGAGCCUCCACCUGGACGAGCCGGACGCUGGAUGGGCGGCCCACGCCGGCAUGUUCGACUACGUCGUCGUCUCCGCCGGCAGCUGGUUCUACCGGCCGUCCGUGUUCUACGAGCGCGGCCGCCUCGUCGGGUGCAGCGGCUGCCUCGCGCCCAACGUCACCGACCUCACGCUCCGGUACUCCAUGCGGCUGGCGUUCCGGAGCGCGCUCCGCGCGGCCGUGGGCGCGCCGGGCGGCCGCUCCAGGACGGUCAUCGUGCGGACGAUCUCGCCGUCGCACUACGAGAACGGGACGCGGAGCGAGGACGGCGACUGCGUCCGGACGCGGCCUCUCCGGCGUGGUCAGUGGGAGAUGGACGAGGAGCAGAAGGAGAUGCGCCGGAUACAGGUGGAGGAGUUCGCGGCGGCAGAGGCUGCGGCGAGAGGGAAAGGGGUGAGGAUGCUGCUGAUGGACGCGACGGAGGCCAUGGCGCUGCGGCCGGACGCCCACCCGAGCAAGUACCGGCUGUGGGAGCCGGAGAAGUUCUGGGUGUCCCGUGACUGCCUACACUGGUGCCUGCCCGGCGCCAUGGACGCGUGCAACGACAUGCUGCUUCACAUGCUGAUCGGUUAA
rnacentral:rRNA from 1 species